rnacentral:rRNA from 1 species
CCUACGGGGGGCAGCAGUGAGGAAUAUUGGUCAAUGGGCUUACGCCUGAACCAGCCAAGUCGCGUGAGGGAAGACUGCCCUAUGGGUUGUAAACCUCUUUUGUCAGGGAGCAAUUGGCGCUACGUGUUGCGUUAUCGAGAGUACCUGAAGAAAAAGCAUCGGCUAACUCCGUGCCAGCAGCCGCGGUAAUACGGAGGAUGUGAGCUUUAUCCGGAUUUUUUGGGUUUAAAGGGUGCGUAGGCGGAAUGCCAAGUCAGCGGUAAAAUCGCGGGGCUCAACCUCGCUCCGCCGUUGAAACUGGCGUUCUUGAGUGGGCGAGAAGUAUGCGGAAUGCGUGGUGUAGCGGUGAAAUGCAUAGAUAUCACGCAGAACUCCGAUUGCGAAGGCAGCAUACCGGCGCCCAACUGACGCUGAAGCACGAAAGCGUGGGGAUCGAACAGGAUUAGAUACCCCAGUAGUC